GGAAAAGAAAAGAAUAGAAAAGGAGGAGAGAGGGAGAAAGUUCUAGAGAGAUAAAAGGGAGGUAACCGCCGCUCCGGCCACGAGGAAUCCGGUUCCGGCCGAGCCUUCUUCGUGAAAUCUUCACAGAACUUAGAGGAGAACAUUCUUUAACCUUUAGAUCGUCCAAAACCAUCCAGAAACGAGGAAAAAUCUAAAGAGGAUUACGCUCAAAACCUGUGAAGGAAGUUGGAAUCGAUUCAGAUCGGAAAUGGGAGUUCCGGCGUUCGUCAAAGAGGAGAAAGGAGGAGGCUGGCCGGAGACGAAGGGCCACGUGUCAAGCGUCUAUUGGAAACGAAAAAUCAAAGAAAUACUUCGCGUCGGGCAGGAUUCGAAGAUCGGCGGCUCGCUACCCGAUUACCCGCGCGCAACCCGGCUUCGAGUUGUCACGCGUCAGCGUAAAAGAAUUCGGAUUUCCAGCGCGUCCUUCCGGUUUCGAACCGACGACCUCGACCUCGGAUGACCGUUCACCGGGCGCCACGUGCCAACACCUGAGCGCGCGUCUUCCUUCCCUCAUGCGCGUCCGUACGCGCGCGUGUAAUGCUUCCCCAUGCGCGUGUGAGCGCGUGAGGUAUCGUUUUCAGCCCGUUCGGCUUCUGUUUUCCUGAAUUUCCUCCCUAGCGUAGAAGCGCUAAACGGAGAACGAGAACACACGUCAAUCAGUAAGUCACCACACGAAAUUCUAGGAAGUAAUACAUGUAGGAGUCGCUUGGAAUGCAUGCAGUUUAAUUAUUUUAAGGCGUAGUGUCGUGUGAGGUAAUUGAUUAUUGAAGUAGGAUGCAUUAUGUGAAUGAAUAUGAAAAUUACCUGAGUAUUAUUGUUAAGUUUUAAGUUUGUGCUAUUUAUAUAUAUGGAUAUUCUAUGCUGAAAGGAGGAUGGGAAUUUGUGAAA